GACUGAGUGGCGGACGGGUGAGUAACGCGUGGGUAACCCUGCCUUGGUACAGGGGGAUAACAGUUGGAAACGACUGCUAAUACCGCAUAAGCGCACGGUAUUGCAUGAUACAGUGUGAAAAACUCCGGUGGUAUAAGAUGGACCCGCGUCUGAUUAGCUAGUUGGUGAGGUAACGGCCCACCAAGGCGACGAUCAGUAGCCGGUCUGAGAGGAUGAACGGCCACACUGGAACUGAGACACGGUCCAGACUCCUACGGGAGGCAGCAGUGGGGGAAUCUUCCGCAAUGGGCGAAAGCCUGACGGAGCAACGCCGCGUGAGUGAUGACGGCCUUCGGGUUGUAAAACUCUGUGAUCCGGGACGAAAAGGCAGAGUGCGAAGAACAAACUGCAUUGACGGUACCGGAAAAGCAAGCCACGGCUAACUACGUG
rnacentral:rRNA from 1 species